rnacentral:rRNA from 1 species
AUUGAACGCUGGCGGCAGGCCUAACUCAUGCAAGUCGAGCGGGGUUUUCGGACCUAGCGGCGGACGGGUGAGUAAUGCGUAGGAAGCUGCCCGAUAGAGGGGGAUACCAGUUGGAAACGACUGUUAAUACCGCAUAAUGUCUACGGACCAAAGUGUGGGACCUUCGGGCCACAUGCUAUCGGAUGGGCCUACGUGGGAUUAGCUAGUUGGUGAGGUAAUGGCUCACCAAGGCGACGUUCUUUAGCUGGUUUGAGAGGAUGAUCAGCCACACUGGAACUGAGACACGGUCCAGACUCCUACGGGAGGCAGCAGUGGGGAAUAUUGGACAAUGGGCGCAAGCCUGAUCCAGCCAUGCCGCGUGUGUGAAGAAGGCCUUCGGGUUGUAAAGCACUUUCAGCGAGGAGGAAGGGUGGUGUGUUAAUAGCACAUCAUUUUGACGUUACUCGCAGAAGAAGCACCGGCUAACUCUGUGCCAGCCGCCGCGGUAACAC